rnacentral:rRNA from 1 species
GACGAACGCUGGCGGCGUGCCUAAUACAUGCAAGUAGGACGCAGUUGCGAACGGGUGAGUAACGCGUAGGUAACUACCUAUUAGAGGGGGAUAACUAUUGGAAACGAUAGCUAAUACCGCAUACUAGUAGAUGGACCUGCGUUGUAUUAGCUAGUAGGGAGGGUAAUGGCGUACCUAGGCCACGAUACAUAGCCGACGUGGGAGGGGGAUCGGCCACACUGGGACUGAGAGACGGCCCAGGAUCCUUCGGGGGGCAGCAGGAGGGAAUCUUCGGCAAUGGGGGGAACCCUGACCGAGCAAAGCAGCGGGGGGGAAGAAGGUUUUCGGGUCGGAAAGCUCUGUUGUUAAGGAAGCGGUACUUAACCAGAAAGGGACGGCUAACUACGUGCCAGCAGCCGCGGUAAUAC